rnacentral:rRNA from 1 species
UACGUAGGGGGCAAGCGUUGUCCGGAAUCAUUGGGCGUAAAGCGUGCGCAGGCGGUUCGUGAUGUCUGAUGUGAAAGCCCCGGGCUCAACCUGGGAACUGCAUUGGAAACUAGCGGGCUGGAGUGUGGCAGAGGGGGGUGGAAUUCCACGUGUAGCAGUGAAAUGCGUAGAGAUGUGGAGGAACACCGAUGGCGAAGGCAGCCCCCUGGGCUAACACUGACGCUCAUGCACGAAAGCGUGGGGAGCAAACAGG